AUGCAGACUCCCACUGGUAGCAGAGAAAUGAAAACUAAAGAGGGAAACUCAUUCUUUUAAUGGAGGUGUAAACAAGGCUAGAAAGAACUGGGUGUCAAGAGCAGGGAGUAGGUGGCAAGAUCAGGAAACAACUUUCCUUAUUGUCAGCCAAGUUUUGAGAGGGAUUGUUUGGCAUUCCUAUACUUGUCAAACCUUAGUAGGAAGUCAAAUUUCAGGAUGGUGUGGGGGAGAAUAGAAAUUUAGUUAAGUUAAAUUUACAGGUAUUUUGUUCUGAUUAGUCAUGGAGACAAAUUGUUCAGCUGAUCAUUUAUGAGACAUAGAAUGCGAAUUUUAGGUUGUGUGUCUGCUUUUGUAGCAGGUAAACGGGUCUAUGGCGAGUUUUAUUUAAGUAAUAUGGGAAAAGGUGGUUCUUUGCAGUUUAACAAAAGACUACAAAAGAAAUUGAAAUAGACAUGUAUGUUACUCAAGGCCCUGGACUCAAGUGGGAAGGUCAAGACAGGCUGCAGAGAGAGAAAGAGGGAGGCAUCACCUGAGGCACAAGCUUUUAUUGUGUUCUUUGAAUAAAAUGUCUUGGGACUCCCGGAGUAAAGCUGGAUUCAAACCAAAAAGAGCAGGGGGCAAGGGGGUAGUUUGGUAAACACCCUCAAAAGUGCGGGAGCAAAGACUUAUGGGAAAUGUAGUUUUCACUCUGGUGUUGGCUUUCCGGGCUGACUCUGCGCGUGCUCACUGCCUCCGGGUCUGUAAAUCUUUCCCCCAGGGUACACCUUCUCCUGGGUGGCGCUUCUCGGAUCACCGAGUCUUUGCGCUCCCUAGGGUCCAGUGCGACAGGACAGGGGAGUUUGGGGUUGGCCGAAGGCAGACGAGCGUCCGCAGUGCUCGGGAGCCGGGGGGUCUGGGGUUGUGGGGGGACCCCGCGGUGGGACCUCUGGCACUUGACCCCCCAAGGGCGGGCUGGGGCAGCCUCAUCCUGGAGGAGGGACGACCGGGCCAGGGCUCCUCUCUCAGCGGAAAGGGCCGGCUUCGCGCGGGGACGCGGGGACGCGGGGAGGCGGGGGCGCGGGGGCGCGCGUCCUGGGAGGUUGCAGGGUCCGUGCACAAAGGCGGCUGCUGCAGCAGGGGGCGCGGGCAGCCACGGGCGGAGCUCGGUUCUAGUUACUGAGCAAUCCUGGCAAAGACGUUCAGUUUUAUCUUCUGCAGAAUGAGAAUGUUUUUAUACCUGACCCAUGCGAUUGUUCUGCACUGCUAAUGUCUAUGCUAGAUAUACGUAGAUUUUAGCUAUCAAAGGCUCUCACGGCCAUAUUUGAGCUGUACCUUUACAGUUCUCUUCAGAUUUCCAAGAGCAGCAGGAAAUGACUGAAUCACAGCAUGUCCCCUGGAGAAAAGGCUGUUUGUACUGUGGAAGCUCCAAGCUAGCUUAAAGACAGUAGAGUCUUCCAAGGAACCAUCAGACAGCCUCCCGUGGAGCUGGAUGGUAAAGGAUGCAAAUGGAACGAGUUAAAAUGCCACAAACCUCACAAACCUCAAACCAGCAGUGUUUAUUGAAUGAAUGCUCCCUGGAUUUACGCAAGACUGUGACAGGAAGAGAAUACAUGCAAACGAUAAAUGGAGUCACAUGUUAACAAUAAGGAUUAGUAUCAUUCAAGGAUGUGUCAGUCAGUUUCACCCAGGUGGAGUGGCAGUGGCUGGACUCAGCUCAGAAGAUCCUGUGCAGGGAUGUGAUGCUGGAGAACUACAGCAAACUGGUUUCAGUGGGUAAGUAGGGUUUCCCAAGUAACUUCCUAGAGCAUGAAUUUCCAUUCUGAGUUGAUGAAACAUGUCAUACCUCUAAAGACUUGAAUUGUUUUUAUUUUUAUUUUUACUUUUUUUUGAGAGAGAGAAAGAGAGAGAGUGUGUGUGUGUGUGCAC